AUUGAACGCUGGCGGCAUGCCUUACACAUGCAAGUCGAACAGCAGCACGGGAGCAAUCCUGGUGGCGAGUGGCGAACGGGUGAGUAAAGUAUCGGAACGUACCUUUCAGUGGGGGAUAACGUAGCGAAAGUUACGCUAAUACCGCAUAUUCUGUGAGCAGGAAAGCAGGGGAUCGCAAGACCUUGCGCUGAUUGAGCGGCCGAUAUCAGAUUAGCUAGUUGGUGAGGGAACGGCUCACCAAGGCGACGAUCUGUAGCGGGUCUGAGAGGAGAAGCCCCCAGACUGGAACUGGGACACGGUCCAGACUCCUACGGGAGGAAGCAGUGGGGAAUUUUGGACAAUGUGCGCAAGCCUGAUCCAGCCAUGCCGCGUGAGUGAAGAAGGCCUUCGGGUUGUAAAGCUCUUUCGGCCGGGAAGAAAUCGUGUGGGUUAAUACCCUGCAUGGAUGACGGUACCGGAAUAAGAAGCACCGGCUAACUACGUGCCAGCCGCCGCCGUAA
rnacentral:rRNA from 1 species